rnacentral:rRNA from 1 species
GGAGCGGUGGGUGGAUCAAAGCUCCGGCGGCAUAGGGAUGGGCUGCGGCGUAUCAGGUUGUAGGGGGUGUAAUGUACCCUCUAGCCCUCUACGCGUACGGGUGCUGAGAGACAUAGCCCGGAGAUGGAUUCUGAGACACGAAUCCAGACCCUACGGGGUGCAGCAGGCGCGAAAACUUGGCAAUGCGAGCAAUCGUGACCAGGGAACUCCAAGUGCAUCGGGUAAGACCGAUGCUUUUCUUGACUCUUCAAAGGUCUUGGAAUAAGGGGUGGGUAAGGACGGUGCCAGCCGCCGCGGUAAUACCGGCGCCUCAAGUGGUAGUCGCUUUUAUUGGGCCUAAAACGUCCGUAGCCGGUUUGGUACAUUCGUGGGUAAAUCAAGACGCUCAACGUCUUGAAUUCUGCGAGCACGGCCAGACUUGGGACCGGGUGAGGUGUGGGGUACUCUCAGGGUAGGGGUAAAAUCCUGUCAUCCUGAGAGGACCACCUGUUGCGAAGGCGCCACACUAGAACGGAUCCGACGGUCAGGGACGAAGCCUAGGGGCACGAACCGGAUUAGAUACCCGGGUAGUCCUAGGUGUAAACGCUGUGGACUUGAUGUUGGGAGUGCUCCGAGCACCCUCAGUGUCGAAGCGAAGGUGAUAAGUCCACUGCCUGGGGAGUACGGUCGCAAGGCUGAAACUUAAAGGAAUUGGCGGGGGAGCACCGCAACCUGAGGAUUGUGCGGUUUAAUUGGAUUCAACGCCGGG